CUUAACCAAUGAAUCUGAAAUGUUACAUAGCAUAUGGACCACAACCUGAUUUACCAAUGGAAGAAGUGACACUUGAAACAAAAAAGUGGUGGUUCAGGUGGCUAGGCUCACCAGGCAUAUUGGACUAGAAGUGCAGCGGCCAGUUAUCCCUCCACUGUCAAGAGACGGAGGUGUUUGCUGCUCUGUGAAACCAGCCUCACACAGUGCCCUCCAGUCUAGGACCAAGGAGACUCAAGCCUUCGCCUAGGUCACAUUGGCCAACUCUCAACUUGGAGUGGGCAGGCCAGCAUGGUGCAGCCACCAACCCAACCUGGCAAAUCUUAAGCCAUGUUCCAUCACCUUCAUGCCCCCACUUGGGUUACAAGUUGAAGUUACCCAACUCGGCAAGCUGGCAGCCUUGCCAGAAGUUUAUAUAGACUUAUUUCUAUCAUGAAAUUCUCGAUGUGGGACUUCUAAAUGUUAACUAAAACUUCUUCCCCUUCCACCAUGUUCAUUGUUCAACUUUCAUUGCUCACCUAAGCUUUUGAAUUAAGAUGCUAUGCUAAUUUUAUUGAUGUAGGUUUCAAGGCUUCGUUGUGUUUAAGCUUUUGGGCUCUCCUUCUAUGACUGUCCUAAUUCCUACACAUAUAUAUUUGAUGCUAUGGUAUAGGAAGACCAUAUAGACUUCUGAAGAAUGACAUUUGUAUAAUGACAUUUGUAUAAGGGUGCAGAAGACUCCUCCAAAGUUCAUUUUGAUUGUAUUCCAUUUCACAAUUUACAUGUGAUGUGAGUGUGGGUUAGAAUCACCAAAAUUGUAUGGGCAAAACAACAUCUUAAUUAGUUGAUGAUCAUGUAAAACAGGCCAUUCUUUACACCAAACUAUCAACAGCAGAUUGUGAAAAAACAAGCAUAAGAAUUGUUUAGUGCCAUUUUCUAAAUACAAUGAAAGUUUAAACCUCAAUCUCUUAAGGUACUAAAAGGUGGUUUACUGUCAUAUAUUUUCCUAAUCUUGAAUUAAUUCCAUUGUAAUUUGUUUGAUGAACACUCAAGUUUUUCUCAACCAAUAUAGCUACAGUGUCAUUUUUGUUUAUAUAUCACAAUUAAAACUAAUAUUUUUAAAUUAAAUCAUUUUCAAAAUCUUACAGCUUUAAAAUGUAUUUGAUCCUUAAGAAAAUGUAUUUGAUAUGCAUACAUAUUUUAUUUGCGUUCAUGUUCAAACCAAUUCAAACUAAACUGCAACUUGAUAAAGAAAUAAAAACUGCAGAAAAUUAAAUAUUGUUGGAUAUGUUCGUAUGUUUAAAAAACUAAGCAAAGUGCACAUGUAUAUUUAAUAGUUGUUUUUAAUUUUUUUACUGGAAUGAUAUAUUCCAUUAACCAAUUAUUUGUUGAUAUUAAUUCUUUUAAAAAUACUUAUUAGUUCAAUUCAUAUGUUUUAACCCCCUAUGUAAUCGAUGUUUUUCAUUACGCUGUGCGCGCGCAUGUGUCAAUAUAUAUCAUUUUGUAUCAUACCAAUUAUUUUAUCAUAUCUUUAUAAUAUUUAUAUUAAUACAAUUUUUUAUAGUUGUAAUUUGGAUAUUCAAAAGCUAACCUAAAUUAAAUCGCAUAAAACUGGAUAUUUCAAUAUUUUGUUUUGGUCCCAUUAAAUUUUUUGUUCGACUUUUAGUCAUCCAAAAAUGUUACAUCACCACUUUCUAUACUUUUAAGUCAACUCAAUUGUAUUAUUCCUAAUUUUUAAUUUUUUGACGCAAUCAUAUUUAGUACAUUAUAGAAUUCUCUCGAAAAAGUUAAAUUUUUUUAACAAGAGAUGAAUUAAAUAUAAAUUUUUAUUUUUUUUGUGAUUAAAAAUUCAUAUUUAAUACAUGUGUUUUUUAAAACUCUUUUUUUUUUGGAGAAAAUCUUUAUAAUAUUUUAAAAAUUUAUGCAAAAUUUUAGUCGAAAUUUCGAAUGAUACAUAUGAGUUGACUUUAAAGUAGGGACUAAAAGUGACGAUGUAAAUUUUUUAGUGGACCAAAAGUCAAAAUAUUUUAGGGAGAAGAAGACAAAAAGUUUGAAUGUUUAUUGAGAACAAAACCAUAUUGUAAUUACUCCUUUGUAAUUACUCCUUUCUUAAACAACUAGUUACAAUCCCGUGCUUCGCACGAGUUGAAUAACGUAUUUUUUUAAAAUUUAGUUUCGAAGGAGAAAUCUUAUAAAUUACGAAAAAUUAUUGUAAUUUAUAAAUAUGAAAAUAAAAAAUGCGUAAACCAAAAUUUUGCAACACAGAGCCUAAAACACUACAUAAAAAAUAACAUAACAACUAUUAUAAUAUCUUAUUCCUUAAAGUUAACCCGAACGCAAAAUUUUGCUCAAGAUUUAACCUAACUUCUUUGCUUAAUUUUAUUGUAUUAAUCCUAUUUAAUUUAAUCAAAAUGUUAACGUUAAUUGUUAGGGAGAUCAAAAUAAACAAAUCGCUUCUAAUUUUUCUCCUUAAUUUUACUAAACAAAUUAUAUUAACCCUAGAUUUAAUUUAUGCAAAACGUCAUCUCUUAUCUCUUAUUUUUAAAUGUUAACCCGUGACACAAUAUUAACCCUAGAUUUAACCUAAUUUUUUCGUGUGACUUUACUAUAUUAACUCUAGAUUUAAUUUAUGCAAAAUGUCAUCUCUUAUUUCUAAAUGUUAAUCCGUGACGCAAUAUUAACCCUAGAUUUAACCUAUUUUUUCGUGUGACUUUACUAUAUUAACCCUAGAUUUAAUUUAUGCAAAAUGUCAUAUCUUAUUUCUAAAUGUUAACCCGUGAUGCAAUAUUAACCCUAUUUUUUCGCAUGACUUUACUAUAUUAACCCUAGAUUUAAUUUAUGUAAAAUGUCAUCUCUAAUUUUAAUCUAAUUUUUUCCUCCACACUUUUGCAUUUAAUGUUUAUCUAAAGUAAAAUAAAAGUAUGUUCCCAAUUAUAUGAUGUUUUUUUGGAAAGGAAUAACAGAUAACCCGUCUAGCUAUACUUAACUUAAUCUCUUACUUAUAAAUGUUAACCCGUCUUGCUAUACUUAAGCUAUUUUAUUUUAUUUCUUAAAGUUAACCCGGACGCAAAAUUUUGCCCUAGAAUUAAUCUAACUUCUUUGCUUAAUUUUACCGUGUUAACCCUAUUUAAUUUAAUCAAAAUGUUAACGUUAAUUGUUAGGGAAAUCAAAAUAAACAAAUCGCUUCUAAUUUUUCUCCUUAAUUUUACUAAAAAAAUUAUAUUAACCCUUAUGCAAAAUGUCAUCUCUUAUUUAUAAACGUUAACCCGUGACGCAAUAUUAACCCUAGAUUUAACCUAAUUUUUUCGUGUGACUUUAAUAUAUUAACCCUAGAUUUAAUUUAGGGUUAAUAUGUCUUUACCCCCCUGUAAUUUGGGCGAGUUUCGGUUUUCCCCCCUAUAAAAAAAAAAGUUUAGAUUCCAACCCUGUAAAAUAAGAUUCUUUGAUUUUAGCCCCUGACCCAUGUGACUGUGCAUAAUUGCUGACGUGGCGGGCUGAGUGGCAUGCUGACUGUGCAUAUCUGAUUAUGUGGCGUGCUGACUAUAUAAUUAAUUAUUUUUUUAUUUUAAAAAAUAUAUAAAAAUUAAAAAAAAUAAGGAUUUUUUUUAUUAAGAAAAAUAUUUUCUAAAAUAUUUAUUUUUCGAAAAUUCCAAAAUUUAUAAUUUACGAAAAAUAUAUAUUUCAAAAUUUUUUAAAAUUAUUUUCAAAAAUGUUAAAAUAUAUAUUUCAAAAAAAAAAUUCAAAAUUAUUUUCGAAAAUUUGGAAUAUAUAUUUUUUAAGUUUAAAACAGAUUUUUUUUCGAAAAAUAAGUUUUUAAAAUUUUCUCAAAAAAAAAAAAAUCUAGAUACAAAUUUAUUUAAAUAUUUAGAUUUUUAUUACGAUGUGUUACAGAUUUGAGAAUAUUUUUUAAUAUUCAAAAAUUGAGGAUAAAAAAAAUCUGGAAAUUUUUUUAAUAUUUAAAUUUAUUCUUAUCUAUUUGUUACAUGUGUUAUUUGUAUUGAAAAUUAUGGACAUUUUUGAAAAGAAACAGCCAACCCAAAAGCUGAAAGGGGUUGUUUUCUUUAUAUAUAUUUCCAAAAAUAUUAUAUAUAAAAAAUUCAUACAAUUACUAUAUUUUGAAACUUUCGAAAAAUUAAAAAAAAAUCCAAAUUAAAUUAAAAUUUUAAAAAUAUUCGAAAAAAAUAAUAUAAACUAAUUUUUGAAUGUUUUGGUAAAAAAAUUAAUAUUUUUAUUUUUUGAAAAAAAAUCCAAUUUUUUUUUUCAUUUUUUAAAAAAAAUUGUUUUUUUUUUCUUGAUUUUAAAUUUUUGAAAAUGAAUUUUCAGUUUUUUUUUAUCUUUUUAAAAAUAAUUUAUUAAACCAUUACACACAUGUCAGAUUUAAAAAAAAAAUUAAAAUUAAAAUAAUUACACAGUGGCGUGCCAUAUCAGCGUCUGAAUGGGGUCAGGGGUGUUUUGUGGAGAAUCUUCAUAUUACAGGGGUGUUUUGUGGAGAAUCUUUAUAUUAUAGGGUUGGAAUCUAAACUUUUUUUUUUACAGGGGGGAAAAUCGGAACUCGCCCAAAUUACAGGGGGGUAAAGACAUAUUAACCCUUUAAUUUAUGCAAAAUGUCAUCUCUUAUUUCUAAAUGUUAACCCGUGACGCAAUAUUAGCCAUAGAUUUAACCUAAUUUUUUCGUGUGACUUUACUAUAUUAACCCUAGAUUUAAUUUAUGCAAAAUGUCAUCUUUUAUUUCUAAAUGUUAAUCGGUGAUGCAAUAUUAACCCUAGAUUUAACCUAUUUGUUCUAAAAGUACUUUUUUUAGUAAGUACUUAAUUGAUAUUGUGUUUUACCUAACUUCUCCUUAAAAAUGUAGAGAAGUUUGAAAAACGUCGGGUCAAACGAUACCUUAAUCUCCCAUAACGGCAAUGUAGAAACAACUGAAUUUGGGAUAAAAAAUUGAAAAAGUUAAAAAUAUAAAAAUUGGAAAAUAAUUAAAAGUUAUUAAAAAUAUAAAAAUUAGAAAAUAAUUAAAAAAAAUUGGUUAGGGGCAAAAAUGGAAAUUCAUAGGCCAUUGUUAAAAAAAACUCAACCAAUAAGUAGAUUACCAAAUUGCCCCUUAUAGGGGCAAAAUGGUAAAUUCAAGGGACAUUUCUUUUCUUAUUAGUAUAUAUAUAGAUAUAGAUUCAUUGUUUUUGUCAAAAAAAUAAUUCAUUGUUUGGUAAAAAGAAAAAAUAUUUAAGAAAAACCAUAAAACUCAAAUGGUUGAAUGAAUGAAAAAUUAACAUUUAUAAUUUUGCCAUAGAAAAAUCCUAAUCCUAUAGAUUACCAAUUAAUUAUGUUACACAUGAUGUGCUUUAACUUAUCCUAUCACAAUCCACAAAUAUACAUCAGUAGCUAAAAGAGAGAAAUGAAGAGAAGGAUGGAAACAUAUAGAGGGAAAGUGAAAAGGAGUGACUCUUAUUUCACAGUCAACCUUGUGUGAUUUAUAGUCUGCACUCUACUCUAUCUCGUUUGUGGUGUCAACAGCAAAAUAAGACUUGAAGUUAAAAAGAUUAUUGUCACAUAAAUUGACCGAAAAACCAGAAACAAUAGUUUAUGACUUUAUGUCAUUUUGUCAGGGUAAGAGAAGUAUGCACUACAAAUCUGCAAUUAACAUCAAAACACUCCUGGCUAAUCUUUGUAUCUGAAUUGAUGGAAAAGCCAUUCAGCAUUACCAAUAUGAAGUAGCAUGACAAAUUGCCAUAUAUGCUAAAAUUGAAUGUAUUAGUUGUAAAAGUGAGAACAUAAGUGAACGCUGCCACACCUUAAUUUACCAAUGGAUUAUGGAACAAGUGAUACUUGAAACAAAAAAAGUUGUGGUUCAAGUGGCUAGGCUCACCAGGCAUAUUGGGCUAGAAGUGCAGCGGCCAGUUAUCCCUCCACUCACUGUCAAGAGCCGGAGGUGUUUGCUGCUCUGUGAAACCAGCCUCACACAGUGCCCUCCAGUCUAGGUCUAGGACCAAGGAGACUCAAGCCUUCGCCUAGGUCCCAUUGGCCCAACUCUCAACUUGGAGCGGGCAGGCCGGCAUGGUGCAGCCACCAACCCAACCUGGCAAAUCCUAAGCCAUGUUCCAUCACCUUCAUGCCCCCACUUGAGUUACAAGUUGAAGUUACCCAGCUCGGCAAGCUGGCAGCCUUGUCAGAAGAUUAUAUAGAAUUAUUUCUUUCAUGAAAUACUCGAUGUGGGACUUCUAAAUGUUAACUAAAACUUCUUCCCCUUCCACCAUGUUCAACUUUCAUUGCUGGCCUAAGCUUUUGAAUUAAGAUGCUAUGCUAAUUUUAUUGCUGUAGGCUUCAUUGUGUUUAUGCCUGUGAACUCUCCCUUUAAGACUGUCCUAACUCCCACACACAUAUAUGUUAGAGGAAGACAUAUAUAGACUUUUGAAGAAUGACAUUUGUAUAAGGUUGCAGAAGACUCCUCCAAAGUUCAUUUUAAUUGUAUUCCAUUUCACAAUUUACACGUGAUGUGAGUGUGGGUUAGAAUCACCAAAAUUGUAUGGGCAAAACAACAUCUUAAUUAGUUGAUGAUCAUGUAAAACAGAUCAUUCAUUAGACCAAACUAUCAACACCAGAUUGUGAAAAAACAAGCACAAGAAUUGUUUAGUGUCAUUUUCUAAAUACAAUGAAAGUUUAAGCCUUAAGGUACUAAAAGAUUGUUCACUGUCACAUAUUUUCUUAAUGCUGAACUAAUUUUGCAACAUGAGGUAUACAAACCUAAUAUGUAAUUGAAUGCAUGUAUUAAAAAAUACCCCUCAUCAUACAUGUAAAUUAAAUUAAUCCAUAAUUUUUUUAAUUUCCGGAGUGUAUUUCUACUGUCAAAAAUGAUCUUAUAUACUUGUUUUUCCUACAGUGCUUCAGAACUUACCAAGCAUGCACUAGCAGCUAUAUCAUGUUCUCUGAUUAGCUGGAAUCAAAGGAUUUAUCUCCAAUCAAACAGUAUCUCAUAUUGUAAACCCAUGUGAACAACAUUAUUAGCCAUACACAAGAUUCUCCAAAGUUGUUGAUUCAAAGCCUGUGCCUUGUAUUGUCCCUUGUUUUAGUAUUCUAAACAAGGUAAUAAACAAUUUAAACUCCAUUAUUUUGUUUUAAGUCAAGUAUUAUUAUCAUGUAAUGAAUAACAGAAUGUCUUUGAAGGGAUAUGUUGAUUGUUGACUACAUCCACAUGGGGUAGAAGAGAAAUUAAAUCAAAAUUUUGGACUCUCCUACAGGCCCCACUUGGAGAGGAUCUUCUGCAUUCAGAUAUCAGAUUAUGUUUUAAACAUGUCUUCUUUACGUACCAUAUAAGAACUUUCCAAGAAAAUGCAUCAUCACUGGCCCAUCUUAUAUUACAUGCUUUUGGACUUUUGGGUUGGAUUCGUUGAAUGAUUGCUAUACUAGUUUUUAACCAUAGAAUAGAAGCAAAUUUUUCAUCAAAUAUUGUUUUUUUAUUUUUUAUUUUAUUUUAUUUUUUAUUUUUUAUAAAUUAUUGAUAUUAUAUAUUCAACUAAGGUCCAAGACUCAGGAAACAUAUUUGCUGCUGUUACCGACAUUUACCACAUAUAUGUACUAUUUAACAUAUGGUUUAGAGUGAUUUGCAAAUAACUUGUACAAUUUUACAGAAUUAAGGGUAUACAUCAUAGAGAAGGCAAUGAGGAAAAUUCCAAAGGUGGUGUUUCCUCCAACAGAACACCUUGUAAAAUGGGGGAGCAUAUAUGUAAACAUGCCAUGUGAUUGCCAACUAGUGGUUUGUAUAUGAAAAUAUAUCCUUCAGAUCAAAACAAAUAUGCAAAUUAAUUACUUACUCUAUUAUAUGAAUAAGAUGGGCCUAUAGCUAUUAAUUUGAUGUAUACCUAUGUUUACUGGCCAUCCCUGGUUUAUUAGACUUAUGUCCCUUUUGUUAAAUGGAUUCUAUGGAUACAUUAUUUGCAUGCAAUUUAUUGAGAAUCGGUUACAUUUACUCCUUAUCCAUCCAUUCUAUUAUGACUGACAUAUUUCUAUUUUUUUCACACAAAUUAAUGAAAAAAUAUAGAUAAAACUAUAGAGAAAAACCCUGGUGGCACAUUAAUAAAAGAUAAUAAAGAAUGAUAAUAGUUUAUCAAGAGGAUUACCCUUCACUUUAGAAGGGUGGAUUAGGAAUAAUUCUAAUACGGGACAUGAAUAUUAGGACAUAUUUUGGACCCUUGCAAAAACACAAAAAUGAAGGAAAAGAAUAAUUAAAUAAUAUUUAUUUUUUAAACUAAUAAUAUAUGAUGUGCAUUUUUUUGAGUGUGUGAUCAAAUAAUGUAUCUAAAUCUAAUGUCCACACAAGAAUUGUUUGUGAAUUAGACUUGAUAUGAUAUCAAGCCUAUCAUUUCGCACCAUCCAUCAUUUAUUAUAUCUAGACAUUGGACACCAAUUUUGUAAGGAUGAGUUAGAUUUAAUUUAGAAACCUAAUAAAAACAAUUAUAUCAAAUUAAUCUAAUUAAGUUUUAAUACAUCAUUUAUUUGUUUACCGAACCUUGAACUAAAUAGUUAAGGGGUUUAAAUAUCUAUAACAUGUGUUAUGUUAAGUAAGGGGUCCAAGUAAAUAAAUCAUUUAGCCACCAUUGAAGCCAAGCAAUCUUAAUUUAAAGCUUGGUAUGGGUGACCAAUCUCAUUCAUAACUACUAUCAUAAUCUGAAACUAUUUAAAACAUCUGGCAAUUGACAUCUCUAUAACUUCACGUACGGUCUCCAGUUUGUUUUGCAAGCUAACAUGGAAUUGUUGUUAUCAGUGUCACAUUCUGCUCAGCAUACUGUAAAGGUUAUGAUGAUGACUUCUAGCAAGGUCUUGGUAUCAUGAAAAAUAAAUACUAUAUUGAAAAAAAACCAGUAUCUAAAGUUAUUCUUUACUUUUAAUUUAUUUAUAACUUGUGCUUAACUUAUCUAAAAUAAUAAAAUUUGAUAGUCACAGAUAACAUUCAUUAUUCUUCUUGACUACACACGGAUAGGAAGGGCACGUGCAAAAACUAAGGACACCUACCCCACAAACUUCUUCUAAUUUUCUAUAGUUCAUGACCCCUACAAUAAACCUUCAACUCUUAAUACAAAAUUAAUUUUGAGUAUUUUACACGGAUGCUGCAUGUUCUUCACCUAUUAUCACAUGCUUUCUGAUCCACCCCAUCCCAUAUUAACCCACAUUUGAAAUCACCAAAACACCCUUGAGUGACAGUCAUUUAUUCCCUAUACUGUCAAUGUGGGGACAAUUAAAAAAAUUCUUUUACAUUUUAGAGGGUAAGGAAUCUUUUUUUUUUUCUUGUCAAGGACCUUACCUAAUUACAUGAAAUGGUAGUUAACAUUUUAGUGCCAAAAAAAGAAAAAGAUUUGAUGUAACAGUUAGUUUAGGCUGUAAAAUAGUGUUAUAUAAUAAUUUCAAUAAUGUGCCAAUCCAUAUAGUACUGAAAGCAACUUGUCAAUUAUAGAUACCAAGAGAUCUACAAAUAAAAUCAUUUUGCAACUUUCUUAUAGGUAGUUGCAACAAUCCAUGUUAGUUUACUAGGCACUUGAGAGAAAAGAGAUGGGAAAAAAAGGUAAAUGGCUCAAAAAUUUCUUGACAGGGAAGAAGGACAAAGAAAAAGAGAAGGAAAAAUGUAACACAAACCAGAAUUUUUCAAAUGGAACAGAAAAUCCAACUACUCCUGUUUCAACAACACCCUCAAAGGAGAAGAAGAGAUGGAGUUUUAGAAGAUCAUCAGCAACAGCUACACCAACAGCUUCCAAGGAAUUGAAUAAUUCUGAAAUUACUGCUUCAAUGACAGUGCAAAGUACUGUCAUUGAUAUUCAGAAUGAGCAAAGGAAUCAUGCCAUUGCUGUGGCUGCUGCUACAGCCGCGGCAGCUGAUGCAGCAGUGGCAGCUGCACAAGCUGCAGCUGCUGUGAUCCGGUUAACUUCUGGUUCAAAUGAAACAUCUAAAAGUAUUGAAGAUGCUGCUGCUGUUAAAAUUCAAUGUGUCUUUCGAUCUCACUUGGUAUGAAGUUAGUUUUCCUAGUCCUUGAAAUUUUAAGGGUCGGUCAAUUUAAUCUUUCAAAUUUGCGAAUUAGUAUUUUAGUCCCUUAAAGUGAACAAUGUCAGAUAAUUUCGUUGUUUUUCCAAAUUUAUCGCCACAAUUUAAGGGUCGGCCAAUUUAGUCCUUCAAAUUUGUAAAUUGCCCUACUUUACAAUUUCAAGGACUGAAAUACUUAUGGUUUGUGAAUGUGUGAAUGUUUCUGUGACAGGCAAGAAAGGCAUUGCGUGCUUUAAGAGGAUUGGUGAAGUUGCAGGCACUGAUAAGGGGUCACUUGGUGAGAAAACAAGCAAAGGCAACACUCAGAUGUAUGCAAGAUCUGGUCACAGCACAAGCUAGAGCUCGUGCUCAAAGGAUCCGAAUGGUGUCAGAAGGAAAGCCUCAUCUAAAUCACAGAAAUGCUAUGGAAAAUGACUUGUUCAGGCAAAUAUAUAAUGUUAGUUCUCUUACUACUACUAAUUAAUAAUUAUCUUUUCUUACCAAUUUGAAUUUGAUUGUUGAAAUUUUCUGAAUUGAUGUCAUAAACAUGAUUGGAAAUUAUCUAUAUCGAAUUGAAAACAACAUUUAGUUCAAGUGUGUUUUCAAUUUGACACAUAAAUUUUGUAGGUAAAGAAAGUAACAAGUUUCAUUUUGCAUUAGUUAAAACAUUACUCUAUCAUGAGCCAUGGCACCACACUUUAUAUUGAAAGUGUGUCUGAGCAUCCAACAAGCUACACUACUGUUUCAGACCGACACGACACCAACACUUGUGAUUACAUACACUCACUUCUAUUAUCUUAAAUUAUUACCAGUGUGUAUGUGUAAGCAUAGUAUCAUGUCUUGUGUACGUUUUAGUAUUUCAUAGGUCACGGGAAUUAACAAACUUAUUCUUAAAACUCAAUUUUUUUUGCUUGAGUAAACUUAAAACUCAAUUAGUGCCUAGAAAAUUGCUUCUUUUGUGUGUUGUAAAAUCCAAAGUAAAACAUGUUACAUUAUAAAAUUGUUUAGUCUAUCCAAAUGAGGAACAAUAUGAAGUAGUUCUAGUCAUGAAAUUCGGUUUUGUGCAUGUAGGAAAUGGACAGAGGCUUGGAAGACAACAUCAAAAUUGUGGAGAUGGAUUUUUGUGAAUCAAAAGGCAACUCUACAAGCAGAAGCAGCAGUGUAAAUAGACAACAUUAUGAGCAAUCUGAAAAUAGAUAUUCCAUAAAUGGUUCCUAUACGAAAGAAGAAAACUACAAAGUAUCACCAGCUCCAUCAGCUUUAACAGAAUUGAGUCCAAAAGCAUGCAGUGGCCAUUUUGAGGAUUGCUUCAGUACAGCUCAAAGCAGUCCUCAAUGCUAUUCUGCUAUAUCAAAAACAGAUGAAUCAAAUCACCCUUUUGCUUUCCCUAGGCCAUCUUAUGCAGAACAAAUGUCCUAUGACUACCCUUUGUAUCCAAGUUACAUGGCUAAUACAGAAUCAUCAAGAGCUAAAGUUAGAUCACAAAGUGCACCAAAACAAAGGCCUGAUUCAUUUGAGAGGCAACUGAGUCGGCGGAGAAUUUCGGUUGAAGGAAGAAAUGUUCCUAGGCCAGUGAGGAUGCAGAGGUCAUCUUCACAAGUAGGUGCAGCUGCUCAGAACUACCAAUAUCCAUGGUCAAUUAAGCUUGACAGAUCGGCGGUUUCACUCAAAGACAGCGAGUGUGGUUCGACAAGUACAAUGCUCACAAACACUAAUUACUGCAGAUCCCUUGUUGCAUAUGAUGUGAGUAGUACUAGUUUUUAUCAUACAAUCGUUUGAAGAAAAAAAAAAUAUAUCGGAUAAGUCAUUAAUUGCUUUGUUACAUUGUUUUGAUUGCAGCCAGAGGGAGAUAGGUACUGAGUGUGUACCUUGUGCAACACUAAAAUAGAAGUCACAUUGCAAGACCAACAAAAACGUAAGCAUUGAGGUGUUAAGGUUUCUGAGUUCUUCUUUUCCUUUUAGAGUUCCAAAGAAAAUAUAAGUUCUGUUUUUUAUGAUAUAGAGUGCUGGGAUUUAUUGAAAGUACAACUUCUGUAGAGUUUUUUUUUCUUCUUAUAUUCAUUGUUUGUACUGUCUGUGAAUUACAUUUGUGUGAAGGAUUUGUAAUGGUUUUUUGUCAUGUAUAAAUGUUACCAAGUUAGAUAUAUUUCAGAACAGCACUGUUUUACUAAAGAGUUGUUUAUUUUCUUUGAUGAUUUACUUAGUCCAUCACUAGUUGACAAAUAUUCUUCAAGAGGGCAAGGACCACAUCCACAUGUUAAUUGAUGUCAAAAUGUCAAUACUUAGUACCUAUAGUUGAAGCUAACUACUAACAAGUGCACUACAAAACACUAAAGUACCUAUACUGGUACAUUUUGUUGACAGAAAUUUUCAUGAUUUUAUCAUGAGUGCUAGUACCGCAUGUUAGUGACAUCCAUACAAAGUGGUAUUGGUACUGCCACUCUAAAGAAAAUUUCUUAUAGAAUGUAUCUUGAGGCAUAUAAACUAUUCAUAAUUCUGUUACCUAUAUCUUUGUCACUUCCAAAAGCCCGAAAACUAUUCUAUUCAUAAACUGAACAAUAGUUGAGUUUGAGGUAACAUCCAAUUUCAUGCUGCACAUUUGCAUUACUAAUCACAUCAUAGUUGAACCAAGGGAGCAAUAUGUUUUUUAAUAUACAUCAUUAGUACAAAGGUAAUUAUUUUAUCAAAAAAUUAAAAUAAAAUUACAAAGGUAAUCAAGAUUGAGCUAGUGAUCUUGAGUGCAAUUAGAAAAUGUAAUCAAAAUUGAAAUUUUGAAAUAGGUGGUGUAACUGUUCUUCUGAGGUUGUAGAAAUCUGGAUAUUAUAUACAUAAUGGGGGGUGGCAUUAAAUACAUGAUUGGAGCAUUACAAAAUGUUACUAUCUUGUUGAUCUGGUGUCAUCUUUAUACCUCUUUUAAUGUCUCAAAUCAAAGAGAUUGUUGCUUUUUUGGCCCAAAAAAUGCACAAACCGUUCCAAAGAUAACAUUCGGGUGAUAACUCAUGAAGGUUGUUUUUCAAGAUAAAGAGCAAAUAGAAGGCUAAAGAAGAACGACCAUCAAGCAAAGAACUAGAACCCAUAAUCUUGUAACAGAUCUACAAAGUACUGCUCAUUGUGUCUUUUGGCCGAUCAAUCAUAUAUAUAUUUGUGAAUUUCUUUUCCACCUCCAACAUUCUCGUACACCAUAUUUUCGAAUUAUAAAAUCCAAAAAUUGAGAGCUUUGGAAGGUUUUUGAGCGUGUUUUACACUUUUCGAAUUAUAUACAAAAAAAAUUCCUAUUAUAUAUUAAUGGGUUAAAUAUGUUUUUGGUCCCUAUAAAUAUACAAAUUUUUUUCGUUUUUGUCCCUCUAAAAUUUUCCUUCAACUUUUGGUCCUUUAAAAAUUUUUCAUCUUCACUUUUGGUCCCUCCUUUAAAGUAAACUCAUAUGUAGAUUCAUAUUUUUGAAUAAAAUUUUGCAGAAAAUUUCAUAAUAUUGUAAGAAUCACUCCCAAAAAUAAUUAGAAUUUUUUAACAAAACAUGAAUUUAAUAUGAAUUUUUAUAUUUGUGAAUGUUAAAAAUUCAUAUUUAAUUUAUGUUAUGUUAAAAAAUUCUAAUUUUUUUUAAAAAAUAUUUUUACAAUAUUCUACACAUAUCUCCAUAAUUUUAUUAAAAAAAAUACCAAAAUUAACUUAAAAAUAGGAACCAAAAGUAGUGAUAGAAAAUUUUAUAGGGACUAAAAAUUGAAAGAAAAUUUUAGAGGGACUAAAACGAAAAAUUGGUAUAUUUAUAGGGACUAAAAACAUAUUUAACCCUAUAUUAAUAUAGCAGAUUACUCAUAUGGCAUGUAUCGAAAAAUAAUCAUGUGUCAUCAAAAUAAUAAUAAUGACAAUAAUAUAUUUCUUUAUACCAAUAAUGGGUUGGUCCUUAAGCAUGUGGUUGGGGUUUGGUUUCUAGCUCAUGCAUACGGAAAAAAUCUAGUUUGGGUGGAAGAAUUCACAUUGUGUGCUUCGAAGAUUAAUCAUUGUUAAGCGGUGAUGAAAACUUCGUAUUAAUAUUAUGGUAAAAAAAUAAAAUCUUUGAGUAAAGUGGAACAUGUAUCAUUUUUUUAAAAUUAAUAAAAAAAAUAUCCUUGUUUGUGUACUUGAAAGAGUAAUAAACUGUUUUAUCUGCACUCCUUGACAAUUUUUUCCUAUACCAUAAAAGUGAGUUGAAAGUUUCUUAUGCUUUCUACCAACUAGUUAAUGAUUAAUAAUAAAACGUGUAAAAAUUUAAGUCAAAAGGAAAAGCUAACGAUAUGAGAAAAUGAAAACCUUUUCGUCCUAUUUUAUUCUCUUUCCAUCUUAGUUUUCAUUUUUUUUCACCUACUGAAUACGUUUAUUAUAAAAUGGUAAUAAUAGAUAAUAUAGGCCACAAUCUGCCACGAACCUUCAUAGGAAGUAUAACAUAAUAAUAAUAAUAAUAAUAAUUGUUGCUGGCAUUCAUAUUUCAUAGAAAUUUUCUAAAAAGAAUGACAUAUAUAGUGUAGUUUGUGUUUUAGUUUUACUCAGUCCAAAACGUUUGGUGAUAUUGUACAUUGACAUCAACUAAGAUACAAUCAUUCUAGAAACUAACAGCACUAUACGUCAAGUUUUGUAUAAUCGCCCUUUAUUUGUCUCUUAUGCCAAAUUGUGCAUGUAAAUAUCAAACAUGUCUAUAUCUUCUUUAAAACUAGAGUGCACUGCCACUUAAUAUAGAGGAUAAAUUUAUGGAGUCAUAACUGUAUCAAUGAUACUAGGAACUAUAAUCAUGUACACAUAUACAAUUAUCACAAUUCACAAACUUUAGCUGAUUUUUUAAUUAAUAUGAUACGGUCCCACGGAUAUGCUUUGUAUUUGUACAUUUCAAAAAAUUAAUAAUGAUAAUCUCUUCCUUGGUUAUCUCAUGGUGUUUGACUUUGAUUGGCUCUUCAAUCUCUAUAUCCUUAAUUUAAUAUAUUAACUUAUUAUAAUUAAGUUUCUUAUCACAAGUGGGAUAAAAUUAUACUACAUGUUUUCAUAUCACAAGAAAACGACUUAAAGAAUUUUUCUCCCUUAAAUUUCAACCAUGCUUAAAUAGACCAUGUAGCCAAGCUUUCCUCCCCAUGAAUUCUUCUUGUGGUAAUUCCUUCCCAUGGAUUUUAUUACCUACUCUACCGUCUUCAGUUUAACUAAUUAUGAAGACUUGGCUUUUAUUUUCACAGUGAUUUUGGAAGAAACUGAAUUACACAAAAUUUUAUAGUAGUUGACAAUAAAACAUCUAUAUAUGCCACUUGAAUAAGUUGAAUUGCAUAAUAAAAAAUGUUGAAUGUAACUAGGCAACAUAUAUAUGCAGAAAAUUUGCUAGAGGAGGAAAAUGAAAAAAAAUACUAAGACAUGAAAGCUACUUGAACAAUAGGGACAUAUGGAAUUGAAAAGUGUCGAAAUACCAUCAAUGUUAGUUCUACCCUGAUGAUGUGAAAUUAUUGUAGGUGAGUAUGUAUAAUGCUACUGAAAUAUACUGCAUGAAUUUUUUUUAGUGAAUCAUCAACUUCGUCUCUGAAUUUUCACGGGUCGGCUAACUUCGUCCUUCAAUUAUGCGAAAUAUCAAUUUAAUUUCUGAAUUUGUUAAAUGUCAAUCAAGUUAGUCCUUCUGUUCAAACGGAGCGUUAACGGGGCUGACGUGGCCGUUAACCUUUCACAUGUCAGACGCCACGUAGGCAGGGACUAAUUUGGCCGAUAAUAACAAACAUUUUGAAGGACUAAAUUGAUUGAUUUGCAGAAAAUGUUUUGGCUUUCUUCCCAAAUGGCUCUUUUCUUCCCCAAUAGCUCUUUCUUCCCCAAUUUAUAAAAUUGGAACCUUAAUUACACAAUCUGCAAUCUACACUCUAUAAUCAUGAAAAUUUCCUCCAAUAAUAAGUGGUUCAGUUCUACCCCAAUUCAAAAAACUUCAAACCCUAAUUUUUUUCGUAGUGAAUUUGAAAGCCAGAAUCCUCAAAAUUUCUUGAAGCAAAACUAUUGAAAUUGAAUCUAAAAUGAUGUGGGGUGGGAAUAUGGAAAAAACGGUUAUGAAAGUCAAGCUUCAUCUUCAAGCUCCAAGUUUAAUGGUGUUGUGAGAGUGCUUGAAUGUUGGUGUCCUACAAUUUGUGUUGUUAGAAAAUCCAAUACUUCAAAAAACCCAGGAAGGUCAUUCUAUGCUUGCCCUCUGCCAAAUGUUGGUUUAACUAAUCAAAAGAGGUUGAAGAUGAUUGAGAAAUGUAAUCUUUCUAUAAUAAUAUUGCCAUCAAAUUAGUCCCUGAAUUAUUUCUCUAUCUAUCAAAUAGAUCCCUACGUUAUAUAAAAAACCAUCAAAUAAGUCCUUGAAUUGUUUAAUCAGAUAUCAAAUUGAUCUUUGAAACAUAUGUGUACAAAAUAAACUAAAAAAGGCAGAACACACAAAUUGAAAUUGAAAUAUUACAUAGGCAUAAGUCAUAUGUCAUAAGUCAUAAGUUUGAGAUAUUACAUAGGCAAAAGCAACCCAACUAUGGGGCAUUAACAAGUCAUAAGUCUUAAACGACAAUUUAAGCAAAAAGAAACCCAACUAUGGGGCAUAAUUCAAAUAAGCCUAAAUAUUACAAAUCCAAAACAUCUAUUAAACUCCAGGAAGCAUCACUUCUUUGGAAAUCCGGUAGUUGGUAUAAACUCCAUGAAUUUAGUAGGUUGAGUCGAACCGGAUGGACCAUAGGUUGGAUAUGGAACCCUAAUUAUGCCAGCAGGAGUUGGAUGAGCUGGUGCAGGACCCCUCAUUGAUGUUUGCCUAGGCCUAUCAACUGAAAGAAUUGGUCCUCUAAGGUCAUACCUCCUUGGUGCAGAAACCUGAAAUUGCAAAUUCAAUCAAAUUAGUCCCUAAAAUCAUAACAUAAUCAAUCAUAUGAGUCCUUCAAUUAAUAUUACUAAUUGCCAAAACGAUUCUUAAAAAUUAAGAGUCAUACCUGUCCAGCAUUUGCAACAACAUUUCCUGCAGUUUCUGCAUUCCCAGACACAACAUUAUUCUUGUGGCUGACUUUCUUGAGCCUCACUUCAAAAACCCUAAAACGAAUAAUCAAAACAAAUGCCUCAAAAACGCAACAAACACAAACAAAAAACAAGGCAAGCAUCAACGAUCACAAAAACAAAAUAAAACAACAUGAUCAAAACUUAAAACGAAAACAAAAAAAAAACGGACAAAAACAGGGUGAAUACGAACACAAAAACUUGAUAAACAACAGGAAAUGUGUUACCUUUAAUCACAGCCGAACACACAAACUUCAAAAAUGUCAGAAUCGUCGAAGAUGAUGAUGAUUUUGGAGGGGUGAAAAUGGAGGAAGUUUUAGCGAAAAGAAGAAGGGUCAAAGACGUUUUUGAUGUUCUGAAAUGUGAAGAAGGAGUUAUGGAUAAUGCAGGGGAAAAAUGCGAAAAGCAGAAAAAAAUAAACUGAAAAGUGAAAACUCAACAUUUUCCAAUUCAAUCAAAUUCGUCCCUGAACACGUGGCUUCCUUUUUGCCACGCGUACAAGACAACACAACAUGCAAGGCGACAGAUCAGCAUGGCUAACGGAGCACUUGGACGGAGGGACCUUUUUGGUGGACGUCUGACAAAUUCAAGGACUAAGUUGAUAUUUCGCAUAAUUGAGGGAUGAAGUUGGCCGACGCGUGAAAAUUCAGGAACGAAUUUGAUGGUUCACUCAAUUUUUUUUCUAAAAAUAAGAAACAUGCAUGAAAGUCAAAUUGCUAUAGUCAAAGGAAAUAAACAUGUGUGCUUAUAUAAAUAAGCUAAAGAUGGUAAAAACCGUGUUUCUGGUGAGAUAUAAGCCACCAAUUUUCUUCCGGUCUUCUACAAUAUGCAAUUAAACAUCAGCAUUGUCAUCGUUUACAUUGCAUGCCAGUUCAUUGCCACCAUGUAAUACUGCAUAGUAGCCUUUUCAGCACAGUUGAAUCCACAAAUAAUCAAAUUAGUAUAACUAAUUUUUUUCAGAAAUAGUAGAACUCAUAUGUAUGAAUGAUAAUAUUAAAAGGUAAGUUGUAUUGUGGUGGUAAUAAAUUAUUUUAAACACAUAUUUAAUCCCAUUUUUAUUUUGUUUCAAAAUACUGAAGUCACAAUUUGAAAUUGUCACUGCUAUUAUUUUUAUUUUAAAAAUUAAAUAGCACGUUGAGUGUUAGAUUAGAUAUAUAAUUUUCUUAGCCUUUAUAAGCAUCUUUGAAUUACUACUUAUGACUUAUAUAAUUUUGUUAUACCAGUAUCAUAAUUUUAUUUUCAUAGGACCCUAUAUAUUGUAAUUCGAGUUAAAUUACAGAAUUUGAAUACUAAAUAAAGCCGGCAGCAUUUCAUUUUGGCAGUCCUAUCCACAAAGCCUCAAACAAAAUAAACUUAAAUUAAAAGUACAAAAGAAACAGAAAAAUCAAUUUAUAGUAUAGAACUAAAAUCAAAUUAAAUUUGAAACCUUUCAUCAAAGAAAUAAAAAUGGUAAAAGACAUUUGAACAUAUGAUAGGUAGUUUAAUCUAGUUGAAUAUUCAAGCAAUAUAAUUAGAAAUUUUCAAUAUAAAAACAGAAAAAGAAUGCAAAAAAGUCUAACCAAAAUAUACACAUUCUUCAUUUCUCAAAGUAUAAAAAUAUUAUAAUCAUGAUCAAAAGCUGUAUGGAUGUCCGUUUAAAUGUCUAACCAAACCAAUCACUCUAUUAUUAUUUUAUAAGAGUAAUGUCAAUUUGCAGCACAACAAACAGAAACUUCCAAAAUUUCUCCAACAUACACACACCCCUUAUAUAAAUUCACAUUCCCAUAACACAAAAUCAAACCCAUCCAUUAUCAGUAAUGGAAUCCUCUUAUAGUCUACAAUUCUUAAUUACCUUCAUUGUCAUUCUCAUAUCCAUCAACCCCUCAUCACACCAAUCUCUACCACCACUAAACCCAAGACUCACCAAAGCCUACAUAGCACUCCAAGCAUGGAAACAAACAUUCACCUCAGACCCAAAAAACACCACCUUAAACUGGUAUGGCCCAAAUGUAUGCAACUACACAGGUAUCUUUUGUGCACCGUCACUAGAUGAUCCUUACAUCAAUACCGUUGCUGGUAUAGACAUAAACCAUGCAAACAUAGCAGGUUCAUUACCAGAAGAACUUGGUCUUUUAACAGACAUAGCUCUUUUCCACAUAAACUCAAACCGUUUCUAUGGUUCACUCCCCAAUAGUUUCAACCACCUUCACCUUCUCCAUGAGCUAGACAUCAGUAACAACCAAUUCUCAGGAACAUUCCCGNCACCGCCUCCACCUCCACCUCCACCACCGCCGCCUCCACCUCCACCUCCACCUCCUCCUCCGCCACCACCACCACCUCCACCUCCUCCUCCGCCACCACCACCGCCGCCGCCUCCACCACCACCACCAUCACCAUCACCGCCUCCACCUCCACCACCUCCUCCGCCACCAUCUCCUUGUCCGCCACCACCUUCACCACCUCCUCCUCCGGCAACUUACUACCAUUAUCUCUGAUGAGACAAGAGCUUGGAAUUUUUUAUUCUUCUUUUCUUCCAAAUUGGUAUACGUAAGAGAAUUAGAGGUAGUGUUUAAUUGGUCAUAUAUGUAAAAAUAAAUUAUAAGAAUUUAGCUAUUUCCAUUUUAACCGUUUGGAUUGAAGGUUGGUCAGGCAACUUUGUUUUGAAUUUGAGAACAAAUAUUAUGGUUGUUAAUUCUUGAGUGUGUCAUUGCACACAUAGUUAUAUAUACAUAAACAUAUACUCAAUUACUCAUAGUUGAAUUCAAUAUAACUCAGCUUGUGAAUGUGCAGAAUCGGGUUUUCGCCAUUGUCUCUAAAAACUCCAAGUCUAAACCAAGUUUUAGGUGAAAUUGACAAAAUUGUUGCUUCAUAAACAAAAUCGUCACUUGUCGGGUCAAUGACGGUGAUUCAUUUUUUUUGUUGUAUCAUGAAUGAAUGUCGGGUUUGUUAAGUCGUUAUCAUUGAUAAUUACCAAAAUAAUUAUUUUUAUAGCUAAGUUUACCAAUUCAAAUGCCACAUUUUGAAUUGAAACUCGUCAAAUAUUUUAUAAAAUAAUUCAGCAAGGCUAACUGCUAAAUAUAUAAUACCAACACCAACUUACUUUAACUUUUUUCUCACUUACGUUAAACUGAAGAUAUUUGAUAGAAAUGUAAAAACAUCUUAUUUGAUGUUUUCUUGAAGCUGCACAAAAAUAAAUAAAGGAAGACAAAACUGAUUUCCUAAAAUAUAAUUUUGAAUUACUACUUUGAAUUAUACAUAAAGGAAAACAAAACUGUAAAAACAUCUUUGAAUUACUUAUGACUUAUACAAUUUUGUUAUACCAGUGUCAUAAUUUUAUUUUCAUAGGACCCUAUAUCAAAAUUCGAGUAAAAUUACAGAAUUUGAAUACUAAAUAAAGCGGGCAGAGGUGGUGGCGUUUGCUUGGAAGGCACUUCUUAAUCGGAUAGCAACAAAAUAUAACCUUGUGUUAAGGAAUGUCCUUCCAAUGGAGUCUUCAAAUUUGUAAAAAAAUUAUUAUGAUUUUUAUAAACAAUUAAAUGAUGUUUUUUCUUAUGAAAUGUUGUUCUAUAAAAUAUAAAUAUUGACAAAUAGCUAUUUACUACAUAAAAAAUGAUCGUUCAUUUAUAAAAUUAAGAAGCAGGAGUACCGGUACACCUCAUUUUGCGAGUGUACCGUAGAAGUUCCCAUUUUAAAAUUAUUAUUUUUUAAGUAGCGAGGGCCAGACCCACAUCAUGUCAAACGUGGGUCCGUCCCUGCUCUCCAAUCACAUGAGAGUUCAGAGAGAAGAUAAUUAAUGGUGUAAAUUAUGUCACUGCAGAGGAUUGGAGAGAUUUCCACCGAAGGAAAUCCACAUGCACGAAAUCCAUGAAGGAUACCACUUAAAAAUGUGAAUAUUUAUUCGUUAGUAUAAAUUACCUACUAUUCUUUUAUAGGUAACCUAGAUGUCACACCAUUUAAACGUCUAACCAAACCAAUUACAUUAUUAUUUUAUAAGAGUAACGUCAAUUUGCAGCACAACAAACACUAACUUCCAAUAUUUCUCCAACAUACACACAUUUAUAUAAAUUCACAUUCCCAUAACACAAAAUCAAACCCAUCCAUUAUCGGUAAUGGAAUCCUCUUAUAGUCCAAAACUCUUAAUUUCCUUCAUUGUCAUUCUCAUAUCCAUCAACCCCUCAUCACACCAAUCUCUACCACCACUAAAUCCAAGACUCACCAAAGCCUACAUAGCACUCCAAGCAUGGAAACAAACAUUCACCUCAGACCCAAAAAACACCACUUUAAACUGGUAUGGCCCAAAUGUAUGCAACUACACAGGUAUCAUUUGUGCACCGUCACUAGAUGAUCCUUACAUCAAUACCGUUGCUGGUAUAGACAUAAACCAUGCAAACAUAGCAGGUUCAUUACCAGAAGAACUUGGUCUUUUAACAGACAUAGCUCUUUUCCACAUAAACUCAAACCGUUUCUAUGGUUCACUCCCCAAUAGUUUCAACCACCUUCACCUUCUCCAUGAGCUAGACAUCAGUAACAACCAAUUCUCAGGAACAUUCCCGGAGGUUGUUCUUUGCAUUCCUUCAUUAAAAUACUUGGACAUAAGAUACAACAAUUUUCAAGGAAAUGUUCCUAAAGGCCUCUUUGAUCUCAAACUUGAU
rnacentral:lncRNA from 1 species